UGGUCUAAUAGUCAGUGGUGAAAUCUCUUUGCUACAAGGAAAUUGCCAUUGAAACUGUUAGACUUGAGAAUGGACGAGGUAGGCGGAAUUCGUAGUGUAGCGGUGAAAUGCAUAGAUAUUACGAAGAACUCCAAUAGUGUAGACUGCUUACCAGACCAUAUCUGACACUAAGGCACGAAAGUGUGGGUAUCAAACAGGAUUAGAUACCCUGGUAGUCCACACAGUAAACGAUGAAUACUAACUGUUUGCGAUAUACAGCAAGUGGUCGAGCGAAAGCGUUAAGUAUUCCACCUGGGAAGUAUGCCGGCAACGGUGAAACUCAAAGGAAUUGACGGGGGCCCGCACAAGCGGAGGAACAUGUGGUUUAAUUCGAUAAUACGCGAGGAACCUUACCCGGGCUCGAACGAUAUUUGAAUACAUCCGAAAAGAUGUAGCUAGCAAUAGCAAAUACCGAGGUGCUGCAUGGUUGUCGUCAGCUCGUGCCGUGAGGUGUCGACUUAAGUGUCAUAACGAGCGCAACCCUUACCGAUAGUUACCAUCAGAUAAUGCUGGGGACUCUAUUGGGACUGCCACCGUAAGGUGUGAGGAAGGAGAGGAUGACGUCAAAUCAGCACGGCCCUUAUGUCCGGGGCGACACACGUGUUACAAUGGGAGAAACAAAGGGUCGCUACCUGGCAACAGGAUGCUAAUCUCGAAAAUCUCUCUCAGUUCGGAUUGGAGUCUGCAACUCGACUCCAUGAAGCUGGAUUCGCUAGUAAUCGCACAUCAGCCAUGGUGCGGUGAAUACGUUCCCGGGCCUUGUACACACCGCCCGUCAAGCCAUGGAAGCUGGAAGUACCUGAAGUAUGUAACUGAAAAGAGCGUCCU
rnacentral:rRNA from 1 species